GGCUGCGUGGCAGAGUGGUUACUGUCCUAUUGCUGCUAUGUGUCAUACACGUGCUCAUAGUGAAUACGUUGCGGGUUCGACUCCCGUCGUAGCCU